UACGGGGGGGGCAAGCGUUGUUCGGAAUUACUGGGCGUAAAGGGCUCGUAGGCGGCCAACUAAGUCGGAUGUGAAAUCCCCAGGCUUAACCUGGGAACUGCAUCCGAUACUGGAUGGCUUGAAUCCGGGAGAGGGAUGCAGAAUUCCAGGUGUAGCGGUGAAAUGCGUAGAUAUCUGGAGGAAUACCGGUGGCGAAGGCGGCAUCCUGGACCGGCAUUGACGCUGAGUGAACGAAAGCCAGGGGAGCAAACGGG
rnacentral:rRNA from 1 species